CAUCCUGAAGCAAGGAUCUCUCAGUUGCUGCCCGACCUACACGAGAGCUGACUGGAUCUCGAGAGGAACAGUCGUAUGCAGCAAAAUUAGAAGCAGCUACAGAGUCCAACUCAGCAGGCCCAGGAGCGGCACAGUCAGCUGCAGGUAAUGGGUGCCUGGUGCAAAUGGGAGCAGAGAAUCGAAGCACUAAUGGAGUGUAAGCAGCAGAAGUGGAGCUCUCAGGUGGUGUUUUGCUGGUGGGGCUGGUGAUCUGCAGGCUCUUUUUCUUAAAG